rnacentral:rRNA from 1 species
AUUGAACGCUGGCGGCGUGCCUUACACAUGCAAGUCGAACGGCAGCACGGACUUCGGUCUGGUGGCGAGUGGCGAACGGGUGAGUAAUGUAUCGGAACGUACCUUUCAGUGGGGGAUAACGUAGCGAAAGUUACGCUAAUACCGCAUAUUCUGUGAGCAGGAAAGCAGGGGAUCGAAAGACCUUGCGCUGAUUGAGCGGCCGAUAUCAGAUUAGCUAGUUGGUGGGGUAAAGGCCUACCAAGGCGACGAUCUGUAGCGGGUCUGAGAGGAUGAUCCGCCACACUGGAACUGAGACACGGUCCAGACUCCUACGGGAGGCAGCAGUGGGGAAUUUUGGACAAUGGGGGCAACCCUGAUCCAGCCAUGCCGCGUGAGUGAAGAAGGCCUUCGGGUUGUAAAGCUCUUUCGGCCGGGAAGAAAUCGCAUAGGCUAAUACCCUGUGUGGAUGACGGUACCGGAAUAAGAAGCACCGGCUAACUACGUG